rnacentral:lncRNA from 1 species
AGGAUAAGGAAAAAGCAAAUUCCACACACAUAAGGUUGUAAGAGAAUUGCUCCGACAACUUAUGAUAUAGUAAUAUCAAAUAUUUUUUUAAGUUUUUAAAAGCCUGAACAUUACUUUAAACUUUUUUUUCGAGGGUUGAGGUUUUAAAAAAUACAUACAAAAUAAAAUAGGCAAAACUGUAAAUGUAGUGACUACUACUGCUAUAGUAAGAAAAUCAAUUAUUUAGUCAUAAUAUUUAUUGUUCUACAAUUAGUUGUACAUAUCAUUGAAUUUGUGAAAAUUUGUAGCGUCAAAUGAAUGAAGUUGAAAAAGAUCCUUCAAACCCUUCUUUAAGUGAUUUGAAAGAUAAUUCUGUAUAAAAAAAAAUAGGGUCUUUACAUAUCUUUUAUGAAAGCACUUGGAAAAGGAAUUACUUUUUCAUAAUUAGCCCUCUUAUCACAUAAGGCUACUAUUACAGAUCAAAUGCUAAAGGAUCAAGAUGAAAUGAAGAAAGAAUUAGCACAAUAUGAGAGUUCUUUAAAAAGACGUAGAAAAAAGAGGUAAGUAUAUAAUGAUAAGUCAAUGAAUCUUUCCUCCCAAAAUCAAUUUGAAGCAAAUAUGACAACAUGUGCUAUAUUAGCAAGGGGUCUACACAUAGACCGUAUUAAGGGAAAAUUCAUGUUAUUAGAGAUUAUACUAAUAAAGAGUUUGACCUUGAACAUAACUCAAGAAACAUGCUUGAUGUGUCUUAACGACGCUUGGAAUAUCAUGCAUAUGAUUAAGUCAACAAUGGGGCCUUUAAUUGUGUGAAUAUCUUUGUAAUUAUGAGAUAUAUUUUUAUUCAUUUAGAGCAUGACAUAACUUGUAUAUGUAACAUACAAUUCUAUUUGAAGAAUGCAUCUCAAUUAAUUCUCAUAUUUACUUUUUCUAGAUGGUAUUAGAGCCCUACGCUUCAUGCUUGAAACACGAACCUAAAAUCUCUAUUAAGUCUUUUCAUCAGUUCUCCAACCUUAUUUUUAUCAAUUUAACGAACACCAAUUACCUCAUACAGAAAUCAUAAGUACUCCUACUUAUAAGGAGUUUUUGCUUAGAGUAUCACAUUUAUGAUGUCCUUGUUCCUUCUAGAACCAAUUCUAAAAUGGAAAAGAAGUCACUGAUCCAAAAAUUUCCCAAUGGAAAAAUAAUGAUGGAUUACUCAUGACUUGGCUUAGAGGUAUGAUGUCCGAAGGUGUCUUGACUAUGAUGAUUGGAGUGUUAACUGCAAAUGAAGUAUAAAGAACAAAUGCUGCCUCUAACUAAGGAACAAGAUUCCUAAGUGAAAGAUAGCUUUUAUUCAUUUUAAAAAAAAGUCUCUCAAACUUGAAGACUUCAUAAAAAAUUCAAAGAUAUUUUUUAAGUUGCUCACUCUCUUGGUCCAAUGUAUGCUGAUUUUAAGACAACUAUUGUAGUGAUCAGCAAGUCUUAUAAAGCCAAACUAGACCGUUCAAUGCCCAAGAUACAUGUAAUCAAGUCAAUGCAAGUUGCACUCAUCUAAGAUCUAAACUGAAAUACUACCUAGGCAACCCAAGAGGGGGGGUGAAUUGGGAUAUUAAAAAUUAUUCAAUUUUAAAACAAAACUCAAUGCAAAUCCAAAACUAAUAUAAAGCAAUAACAAAUAAAUCAAUCACAAUAUAAAAAGAUAAAGGAAGAGAGAGCAAACACAAUGAUUUUUAUGUGGUUCGGCAAUCCCUGCCUACGUCCACGCCUCCAAGCUCAUUGGGCUUAAUGAUUUCACUAAGCAAGCCGCCAAGGCUUCAAAUGCUUGCAAUUGACUUCCAAGGUGCCAAUGGACCUUCACAACAAGAGAUUAUCCCCAAGCUCUUAACCUAAGUGUAUCCCAACACUUACAAUCACUCAAAACAAAAGAUUACAAAUUAUUUUUUUCUCACACAAUAUUUAAGAUUACAAAUCAAUGCUCAAUGUGUGAAUAGAUGAAGAAUGAAUGUGUUUAAAGCUCUUUGAAGAAUGAAUGUGUUUAAAGCUCUUUGAAGAUUGUAUUCUCGAAUAUAAGCUCAAUGAUAAUAUUGUGAUCUUGUCUUCUUUGAAUUUGAUUGAGCUUAUUUAUAGUUGGAGUUGAAAACUAGUCGUUAUUGAUUUUCUGCUCACUGUCGGAUCGCCGUUGACUGGUCAAUAUGAUCGUUGGGCUGAAUUUUCAAAUUGUCAGAUCGCCGUUAUCUAGAUGUCGGAUUGUCGUUUUCUACAGUAACUGCUACACUGAACUAUUUUUGUAAAAUUACCGUUUGACCCCAAAACUUUAUAAAAUUAUACUAUGGCCCAAAACUUUAUAAAACUUAUCAAUUAGGUCCAUUUUUAGGAUUUCAAAACUUUUUUUAAUUUAGACCAUUAAUUAAAAAUAACCAAUUUCAUAAAAUCAUUUUUCCAUUAAGUAUAAAAUAUUUAUAUUAUGAAAAUAAUGAUUUAUUUAAAAUAAUUUGAGCUUUAAAAACUUAAUCAUUCUUAAUUUUGUUUGUUAUCAUCAAAAUCAACUUUAUGGAUACAUAUAUGCUAACAUUCUCCCCCUUUUUGAUGAUGACAAACCUUUCAUAUAUUUAAAGAAUGAUUGCACAAAUUGCUCCCCUUAAAUGUAAGCUUCUCUUACAAUUUAGCUAAAUUAACAAAUUUAAAUACAUGUAUUCUUCUCCCUCUCAUCAUCAAAAAGAAAACUUAGUGGAAAAGAAAAAGAGUAGCAAAUUUGUUACCUAUGUUGUCCGAGUAGAAAUUGGGAUAGAUACUCUCCUAACAACAAGCAUCACCUCAAAUACAAGUUUAGUAAUAUUAUUCCUAAAUUAUUAUAAAUCAUAAUACACAGCAUGUAAUCAAAUCAUCAUCAUAUCUCAAAAUCAUCACCAUAAUCACAUAUUAAUCAUCAAAACAAUAUUCAAAAGUCCAUAUUAUUCUCCUCUUUUUGAUAACAUCAAAAUGAUAUAUUACUUUGUCUCCCCUUUUGGACAACAAAAAAGUUCAAAAUGUAUAUUAUCCAAAAUCAUAUUAUAUGCUCCCCUAAAUAUAUGGCCAAUUUAAAAUUUUAACCAAAAUGAUUUUAUCCAAAAACAUAUCAUAUUUAUCUCCCCCUUCAUCAUAAAAAAGAAAAGAUAGAUAGAUGCAAUCGAAACAAGAUCAUAAAAAAUAAUUUGAUGAAGAUAUUACCCAUUUUGUGCGAGCAAAAAUUUCGGCAAAAUCUCCCCUUAAAAAUGAACAAAUCCUCAAAUACACAACAUGGUUAAAAAUACUUCCAUAUAAGCUUAAACAAUUAUAACAAACCAACAACUUCAUCAAUUCAUCAAGCAACACACAUAUAAUCAUUAAUCAUCAAAAUUAUCAAGAAAUCAAUUUUAAUAGUAUUAAUAACAUUAUUAGAGAUAUUAAUAAAUUUCAUCAUCCUAAGUUCAUGCCGAAUUUUUGAAAAUUAUUUUUCGCAAAGAGGUUUUGAUUUGUUUACCCAAUUGACAUGCAAAAGUUAUGAGAACAUAUUAUCAACUAUCCAAGCUCCAUAAUUACUAAUCACAUUUUAGAAAUCAAGACAACUAAAUUCAUCAACGAUCUAAUGUGACAUUUCAAUAGAACUUAAAAAAUAUUAUACGGUUAAAAUUCUCGAAGUAUAUGUAUUUUUUCUUUUUUAUAUCAUUUAAAACAAGUAAGGCAUAUUCAACAAUACAUCGAUAAAGUACAAAAAAUGCAUCCAUUCACUAAUCAUAGAUUGCAUAAGAUCAAAGUUUCAUCAAAUACAUUGUAAUCAUCAAUGCACAUUCUUUAUUAUCAAAACUUAAGUAAAACAUAAGUAUAUAAUGACAAUAUAUGGAUCAUCAAAAUCAACAUAUGGCAAUAUAUAGAUCAUCAAAAUCAACAUUGCUAUUAAGAAAAGUCAUCAUAUAUAUUUAUCCAUGCAUCAUGAUUAUACACAAUAAUAAUUCAAUUAUGUAAACAUAUUAUCAUACUUUCGCAAAUUCAAGCUAUUAUUCAUUUAUCAUGAUCCACUCAACAAAAAAAUAGGCAAGAUAAACUUAUCUACAUCAUGUUAAUGCACUUAAUAUUAUGAUGAAAUAUUAAAUACUUACUAAGAUUAAAAGACCAUCACUUAUAAUCAAUAAUGCAAUAAUUGUUACCAAAACAAUUAAAUCAUCUUGUCUCAUCAUUUUCGCUUAGACAAUGAUCAAGUGAUUAUCCUCAUAAACUUUCAUUAAGGAACUCUCCGUCAUUCCUUGAUUGUGGUACCUACAAAGAAAACAUUCACGUUGUGCCCUUUGGUACCCAAAUACUCUUGGAUCCUUGAGUGUUAAAUUUGGUUCCUUUUGGAACUCAAAUACAUUUGACUCCAUAAUAUACAUUUCUCUUAACUGGACAUCUAAAACUCAUAUGACCAUUUUGAUUGCAAUAAUGACAUACAAUUUGAUCAUUAAUGGAAGCAUUCUUCACAAAGUAGUUCUUAUAAUACUUUUGUUCCAAAUUAGGCUUAUAGCCAAUACCUCCUUUGUCAAACAGACAUUUUUGUGAAUUAAGCAAGUUAUCUAACAUCUUUUGCUCAUUUGUAAAUUUUAAGACAAUCUCAUUUAACUCAUUGCUUUUCUUUUUAAGCACUUCAUUUUCUUUCAUUAACUCAUCAACAUGUGAUUUCUCAUGCUCAUAUGAAGUAUUUUGUUUACAUUUAAAUAAUGCAAUCCUAUCAUGUAACUUUUCAUUAUCUAAUUCCAAUUCUUUGAUCUUUUCAUUUAAUGAAACUUUGCAUUUUUGCAGGGCAUCUUUUUCAUUUUUCAAGUCAUCUACAUGUGAUUCUAGAUGCUUGUGCGAAGUGCUACAUUUCUCAUUUGAUAAUGCAACUUUAUCAUGCAAUGUUUUAUUCUCUAGUUCAAGGCAUAUAAUCUUUGCAUUUAGAGAUUCAUUUUCAUUUGUGAGCUCUACCAUUUUCUUUUUAAGACAUGCAUUCUUUUUACCAAUUUUCAUCCACUCAUCAUGCAAUUCUUUAAACGCAUCAUGUAAUUCAUCAUAAGUAGGAAGAUCGCUUACCUCAUCAACUUCAUCAUUCGAUUCAUCUCCAAUUGCCAUAAGUGCCAAAUUCGACACUUCAUGAGAUUCCUCCUUGUUUGUAGUCUCCUCAUACACAACUUCAAGUUUUCUCCAAAUUUCAUAAGCAUUAGAACAAUUUGAAACUCUAUGAAAUUCCUUUUUAUCUAAGACACAAAAUAAAGCAUUCAUAGCAUUGGAAUUUAAAAACAUAUUUUUCUUAUCUAACUCACUUAAGGCAUUCUUCCUAGGAAUGAAUGAACCAUUACAAACUAUUUUCCAAAUUUCAUAGUCUAAGGCUUGUAAAAAGACUCUCAUCCUAGUUUUCCAAUAAGGAUAGUCAUUACCAUCAAAGAAUGGAGGUCUAGUGGUAGAUUGGCCUUCCAUGAAGGUUAAGCUAAUUUGGGUUGCUAUAGAUCUUUAACUCAAGACGGUUAAGUCUACAUAAGAGCACCUCGCUCUGAUACCAAAUGAAAUACUACCUAGCCAACCCAAGAGGGGGGAUGAAUUCGGAUAUUAAAAAUUAUUCAAUUUUAAAAGAAAACACAAUGCAAAUCCAAAACUAAUAUAAAACAAUAACAAAUAAAUCAAUCACAACAUAAAAAGAUAAGGGAAGAGAGAGCAAACACAAUGAUCUUUACGUGGUUCGGCAAUCCUCACUUACGUCCAUGCCUCCAAGCUCACUGGGCUUGAGGAUUUCACUAAGCAAGCCUCCAAGGCUUCAAAUGCUUACAAUUGACUUCCAAGGUGUCAAUGGACCUUCACAACAAGAGAUUAUCCCCAAUCUCUUAACCCAAGUGUAUCCCAACACUUACAAUCACUCAAAACAAAAGAUUACAAAUUAUUUUUCUCGCACACAAUAUUUAAGAUUACAAAUCAAUGCUCAAUGUGUGAAUAGAUGAAGAACGAAUGUGUUUAAAGCUCUUUGAAGAUUGUAUUCUCAAAUAUAAGCUCAAUGAUAAUAUUGUGAUCUUGUCUUCUUUGAAUUUGAUUGAGUUUAUUUAUAGUUGGAGUUGAAAACUAGUCGUUAUUGACUUUCUGCUCACUGUCGGAUCGCCGUUAACUAGAUGUCGGAUCGCCGUUUUCUACAGUAACUGCUACACUGAACUAUUUUUGUAAAAUUACCGUUUGACCCUAAAACUUUAUAAAAUUAUACUAUGACCUAAAACUUUAUAAAACUUGUCAAUUAGGUCCAUUUUUAGGAUUUCAAAACUUUUUUUAAUUUAGACCAUUAAUUAAAAAUAACCAAUUUCAUAAAAUCAUUUUUCCAUUAAGUAUAAAAUAUUUAUAUUAUGAAAAUAAUGAUUUAUUUAAAAUAAUUUGAGCUUUUAAAAACUUAAUCAUUCUUAAUCUUGUUUGUUAUCAUCAAAAUCAACUUUAUGGAUACAUAUAUGCUAACAAUCUCCCCCUUUUUUAUGAUGACAAACCUUGUAUGUAUUUAAAGAAUGAUUCCACAACUUGCUUCCCCUAAAUGUAAGCUCCCCUUACAAUUUGAGCUUAAAAACUUAAUCAUUCUUAAUCUUGUUUGUUAUCAUCAAAAUCAACCUUAUUAAUACAUAUAUACUAACAUAAACAAAUCAAAUAAUUCAAUAACAAAAGAACAAGAACUUAACCAAGAACAAAGCUGGAACCAAGAACCCACAGAAACCAAGAUUUUACGUGGUUCAGCUGAGCAAGGAAUGCUCAGCUUACAUCCACGGGAGAAGCCUCAAGAUGAGCUUUAUUGAAUCAACAAUGGAGAUUGUUACAGAGCCUUACACCAGACUUUACAGAGAACAAGAUAACACUUCAUCUCACACAAAACCCUCACUACAAGACUCUAGAAUCGUUGCCUAACAUUUCCUUAAAACCAGCCUUUAUACCAUGUUUUGAUAGCUAGCUUAAUUUCCAGAUUGUACAGAUUAUUGACACGUGGUUAAUAACCUUAACGAGCUCGGAACAACCUUCAUCACAUGCUUCCUCACGUGGUUACUUAAGCUGUUAUCCAAAACGCAUUGCGUCCCUGUCAUUUUGUCUAAUUCGUUUUCUGUUAUGAAGCAGCUGAGCAUCACGUGAGCAAAUGAAGCUUUUAUAGUCCCAAAACACAGUCGUUUCUGGAAAGCUUACUUGAUUCACCAUCUCACAAUUCUCCACCUUGAAUCAAAGUAUACCCUCACUCUAACUCCUUCUCCAAAACCUUAUGCAUUUUACCGAUUGCAUAAACCAGCUAGGUCUAGGCAAGCUCUGAACAUAACCACAAGAAUCACCUUUGUAAAAGCAUCUGCAGGAUUCUCAUCAGUGUGGAUCUUUACCAAUUUCAAAGCACCUCUUGAGACUUCAUUCCUAAUGAAAUGAAGCUUAACAUCUAUAUGUUUAGUCUUCUCAUGGUGUGCAGGAUUUUUGCUCAAGUGUAUUACACUUGAGCUGUCACAGUAAACUGACACUGACUUCUGAAUUAAUCCCAAUUCUGUCACCAAUCCCUUGAGCCAAAGUGCUUCUUUUACAGCUUCUGUAGUAGGUGUAUACUCUGCUUCUGUCGUUGAAAGAGCCACUACACUUUGUAAAGUUGCCUUCCAAUUUACAGCACAACCAUUUAAAAUGAAUAUGUAACCUAUAAGAGAUCUCUUUCUAUCUAAAUCCCCUGUAUAAUCUGAGUUAACAUACCCUUUCAAACCCUCACAAUUUGCUUUUGUCUUGCCAUACAUCAUACCACAAUUUACAGUGCCAUUGAGAUACUUGAGUAUCCAUUUUACAGCCUUCCAAUGGACUUUCACAGGUUGUGUCAUAUAUCUGUUGACUACACUGACAACAUGAGAUAUGUCUGGCCUGGUCAAUACCAUUGCAUACAUAAGGCUACCUACGGCAUUUGUAUAAGGCACAUUGGCCAUAUCUUGCUUUUCAGCUUCUGUCUGAGGGCACAGUAAGUUGCUUAACCUGAAAUGUGAAGCUAAGGACAACAGUACAGGCUUAACAUUACUCAUGUCAAAUACUUCCAACACCUUUUUCAAGUAUUUUUCUUGUGAUAGAAACAUGGUGCCUUUACUUUUAUUCAUUCUGAUCUCCAUUCCUAGAAUCUUCCUUGCAUACCCCAAGUCCUUCAUUUUGAAUUCAGAAUUCAGCAGCAUCUUGAGCUUAUAUAUUUCCUCCAUAUCCUUGUAAGCAAUCAACAUGUCAUUUACAUAUAGAAGGAGAUAUAUGUACAGAUCAUCCUUGAUUGUCUUAUAGUAAACACAAUAGUCAUAACUGCAUUUGAUGAACUCAUGUAAUUGUAUGAAUUCAUCAAAUCUGAGGUACCAUUGUCUAGGGGACUAUUUGAGCCUGUAAAGUGACUUCUUCAGUUGACACACAUGGUCUUCUUUACCAGGGAAUACAUACCCUUCAGGCUGGGACAUCGGUAUUUCUUCCUCAAGUCUACCAUGCAGAAAUGUUGUCUUGACAUCGAGUUGAUCAAGCUCUAUGUCUUGCACAACUGUUAUGGCUAAGAUAACUCUAAUUGAGGCAUGUUUAACCACUGGAGAGAACACUUCUUUAAAAUCUAUCCCUUCCUGUUGAGUAUAGCCUUUUGCCAUAAGUCUAGCUUUGAAUCUCCUUGGUUUAGAUCCAUUUAUGCCUUCCUUGAUUUUGAAAAUCCAUUUGCAGUAAACCACUCUUCUAUUUUUAGGUUUUUUGACCAGCUCCUAUGUGUUGUUUUUGUAGAGGGAGGCCAUUUCAUCAUCCAUAGCUUUCUGUCAUUCUUCCUUGAAUAGGCUUUGAGUUGCUUCUUUGAAAUUCUUUAGUUCCUCAUCAUCAAUAUCUUUUGCAGUUGCCAGAGCAAAGCCAAUUAAGUCUACAUAUCCAAAUCUCCUUGUUGGUUUAAUCUGCCUUUUUUUCUCUAUCUCUAGUAAGUUAGUAUUCUUUGAUUUUCACCUAAGAACUUGACUGAUCUUGAGGUAUCUCUGUGUCUUCAAUAGUUUCUAGAACAUCACCUGAAUCUGCAGCUUCAGUUGUGUUUAUGAAAACAGAAGGCUCCACCUCAAACUCUAGUUUAUCUGCUGAUCUGGAGUUAUCAGUUUCCACUUCAAGUGCAUGACUCAUCUUUAUCAAACUCCCCUCAUUAAACACCACAUCUUUGCUUACUAUACAUUUUGGUGGAUUAAGGUCAGUGCACCAAACCUUAAACCCUUUGACUCCUUCUAGAUAGCCUAUGAAAACACCUUUCAAGGUUAUAUGUGCUAGCUUACCUUGACUGACAUGAACAUAGGCUGGACAUCCAAAAGCUUUAAGGAUUCCAUAGUUAGUAGGUUUCCCUGACCACAUUUCAAAGGGUGUUUUAAAAUCAAUUCCAGUUGAGGGGCUUAGGUUGACAAGAUAGCACGCUGUGAGGAAGAUUUAUGCCCACAGUGACUUUAGGAGCUUGGACUGAAUCAACAUACAUCUUACUUUUUCCAUAAGAGUCAUAUUCAUCCUUUUAGCUAACCCAUUUUGUUGUGGGGUCAUCCUUACUGUCCUAUGUCUUGCAAUACCUUCAUUUGUACAAAAGUUGUCAAAUGGUUGGUUGCAAAAUUCAAGACCAUUAUCAGUUAUCAGCUUCUUUAAUCUCUUUUCAGUUUGGUUUUCUACCAACUGUUUCCACUCUUUAAACUUCUCAAAGACCUAAUCCUUGUUCUUUAAACAUACACCUAGACUUUCCUAGAGAAGUUAUCUAUCAUGGAUAAAAAAUACAUAUUCCCUCCCAGAGAUUCACACUGAGCAGGUCCCCAUAAAUCAGAGUGUGCAUAACCCAGCCUCUCAUUUGAUUUCUGACUAAAUCUCUUGAAGCUACUGAUAACUCUAUGAAAUGAGAGUUAUUACAUCCAUUCUAGACUUGAAUAAAGGCCAUUUAGAAAGCAAAUAAUGUGUUUUGAUUACAUUUUGGUGACCUUUUGCAUAAACAUUCAUUUUAGUUAAAUCUUAACAAGUUUUGCUUGAAUGAUAGUAAUUUGUGCUAAAAACUGGUUUUAAUUUGUAGGUUUUAAAUUCAUAAAAGGAUGUGGAGACAUUAGAUGAGAAAGAUGAGGAAAGAAGAUGGCCACAAAAGAAGAAAAGCACAAUCGAAAAUAAUACAGUGCUGUUGCGGAUGUUAAAACAGCCAGUGCUGCAGUAAUCUGGGAGUAACGCGGGAGAAAAUAUAGGCGCGGGUCAGUAAUUAAAUCACAAUCUGCAUGUUUCCUAAUUUAAACACAUGCACGCUCAUGGGCUUUGGCUUUAACCUAAUUUGCAAUAUAUAAAGGAGGCAUGUACCACAUAGAAAGCGGCGGAAGGAAUUAUCAUUCAAAAAAUAAUUAAAAAGGCAAGAAGAAGAAGAAGAUCAAGAUUAAGGAGUGCUAUUCGGCAUCAUUGAAGAAUCGAGGAGGAUCAUUAGUCUUUCAUCGUGCUAAACUCAUAUUAUCUUUCUUCCUUUAAUUGAUUGGAUGUAUUCUGUGAUCAGUAUAUUUAUGUUUAUUUUCUCAUUCAGAAUAUGAACUGAAUUUACUUGUAGUUGAGUGACAAUUAAUCCAAUGGGUUCUUGACUGUUCUUAUAUGUGGUUAUGAUAAUGCCGUAGCAUUAUACUCUAAUAGUUUUUAUGAACAUAAAUGUUAUUUCGGUUGACCACCCAUUUAAUAGUUUCAAUUAAGAUAGAGCAGCAAAAUGGCAUGUCUUAGCGGAUAUUAUUAGAGUAUUACUUGUUCUUAAAUCGAGUUUCCUGGAUUAGGUUAACUUAAAUCUCAUAAGGGCGAUACUUGAAAUUAAGUUUUGUGAUAUCCUAGACAUAGGUGUUCACCUUGUAAGGUAGAGAGAUUAAAGAUCAUAAAGCCAUACCUUAAAUUUAUGAGCAACUGGUCAUUGUUAGUAGAUUUAAGGGUAUGAGAUUUCCAACAUGCGAUAGCUGCGGAUGCAGAUUUGUUCUACUCAAUACUGCAGCACUUAUUAUAACAACUGGUGCUAAUUCGGUAAUCAACAGUCACCCCAUUAGGAGAGUUUGAUCAUUCAACUACUAUAUUCUCAAUUGAAUAUUAGACACAUUUAACUUAGUUUAUUUUAUUACGGUAUUGUUUUAUUUCCAUUCUCUCGCAAUUAUUAGUUACGAUAAAAUUAUUUGGCAAUUGUUGUUUCGGUCUUUAGUUGACUUGCAUUAUUGUGAUUGCUUUAGCAUUUUGAGUAACAUCAAUCCCUGUGGAGACGAUCUUGAACACUCAUCACUUUAUUACUUGUUGUGUAUACUUGUACAUUGGCAUUGAUAAUAAUUGAUUAUAUAAAUCAACCAACAACUACCCCUUGAAGACUUUCCUAGAACACAAUCUUCACAAAACUCUAGAUUACCAAUCUUGUCAGAACCAAACAUCCCUUGUUUCUCUAACUCUUUUAACCCCCUUUCACUCAUGUGCCCUAACCUUAGAUGUUAUAACCUGGUUUUAUCUUCAACAGGCUUAAGAGAUACAUUAGCUACUCUAGAUAUCACCUUACCAUCCAAGAUGUUAACUCCAUUAUUCCUAGUCCCUUCCAUGACCAGAUUUGAACCAUUUAGAACACUCGAUUCUCCAAAUUCAAGCCUAAUUCUACACCUUAUUUAAUCCAGCAUCCCAAGGGAGAUUAUAUUUCUUUUCAAGUCUGGCACAUGCCUGACUUGCUUAAGCACUCUUAUUGAUCCAUCAUGUAGCUUAAGACUUACAUCCUCAAUUCCAAUGAUUCUACAAAUAGAGUUAUUUCUCAUCAUUACUCUACCACCAUCAAAUUCUUGAUAUUCAGUAAAGUAACUUCUAAAAGGGUACAUAUGAAAAGUGCAUCUAGAGUCUAGAACCCAUUUACCUUUUUGGUUGUUUUCUGUUGCCACACAUACACCAGUAGACUCAUACCCUCCCUUUUCUACUACAGCUGCAUCUCCACUCUAGUUUCUUGAAUCUUUGGGCUUGUUUUUCUUCUCAGGGCAAUCCCUUUUAAAAUGGCCUUCUUUGUGACACUGAAAACAUUUCAGAUCUCUAUUUUUGUUAUUUGAUUUCCCUUUCUUCUUCUUCUUGUCAGUUUUCACCUUUACUGUCAGUCAUUCACUUGCACCAUUCUCCAAGUGAACUUGUUUUGUUUGAAGUUCCCUUGUAUUUAAUAUUGAUUUAACCUUAUCAAGUGUCAGUGUUGGUCUUCCAUACAUCAGGGCAUCAACCAAAUUCUCAUAAGAUUUUGGUAAUGAACUGAUUAACAAGAGGGCCUUCCCCUCAUCAUCUAGAGCAGCAUCAAUGGUUUCCAGAGUAUCACAUACUUUGUUAAACUCAUCAAUGUGUUCCUCCAGUGAAGUUCCUUCUAUCAUUUUCAGUGUAAACAUCCUCUUCUUGAUAUAGAGUCUAUUUGCAAGGGACUUGGUCAUGUAAAGACUUUCGAGUUUGCCCCAUAAUCCAGCUACUGUCUUCUCUAAUGACUGAAUCACCAAGACUAAGGAUUAUUGUACUUUUGACCUUUUUGUGAAUUUCAGCAACUUCCUCUAGAGUCUUUGAUGAAGAAACCCUUUUUCCUUCCUUCGUUUCAGGCUCAAUUGCAUCUCCCAAACCCUGCGUGAUCAGUAAAUCUUCCAUAUAUUGAAGUUAUUCUUGCCUAUAAAUUUCUCUAUAUCAAUCUUGGAGGACACAAUACUUGGACUUGAUCACAGAGCACCAGGCUCUGAUACCAAUUGUAGUGAUCAGCAAGUCUUAUAAAGCCAAACAAGACUGAUCACUGUCCAAGAUACAUAUAAUCAAGUCAAUGUAAGUUGCACUAAUCCAAGAUCUAAACAGAUCAAAUAAUUCAAUAACAAAAGAACAAGAACUUAACCAAGAACAAAACUAGAACCAAGAACCCACAGAAACCAAGAUUUUACGUGGUUCAGUUGAGCAAGGAAUGCUCUACUUACAUCUAUGGGAGAAGCCUUAAGAUGAGCUUUAUUGAAUCAACAAUGGAGAUUGUUACAGAGCCUUACACCAGACUUUACAGAGAACAAGAUAACACUUCCUCUCACACAAAACCCUCACUGCAAGACUCUAGAAUCGUUGCCUAACCUUUCCUUAAAACCAACCUUUAUACCAUGUUUUGAUAGCUAGCUUAAUUUCCAGAUUGUACAGAUUGUUGACACGUGGUUAACAACCUUUAACGAACUCGGAACAACCUUCAUCACAUGCUUCCUCACGUGGUUACUUAAGCUCCAAAACGCGCAGUGUCCCUGUCGUUUUGUUUAAUUCAUUUUCUGUUAUGAAGCAAUUGAGCAUCACGUGAGCAAAUGAAGCUUUUAUAGUCCCAAAACGCAGUCGUUUCUGGAAAGACAUAUCAUAAUCUAAUUUUUGUAUUUUCUUAAGUAUCAAAGACUUAGGUGUCGUUUGUUUUUUUGUCUGAAAUCUGAAUAGACCUGAAUUAAUCUGAAUUUUGAAUAGGUCUGAAUGUCUGAAUCUGAAUAAUAUGUUUGUUUUUUCGUCUGAAUCUCGGAAAAUAAAUAUUAAGUUGUUUGUUUUU